GAUGAACGCUGGCGGCGUGCUUAACACAUGCAAGUCGAACGGAAAGGCCCAAGCUUGCUUGGGUACUCGAGUGGCGAACGGGUGAGUAACACGUGGGUGAUCUGCCCUGCACUUCGGGAUAAGCCUGGGAAACUGGGUCUAAUACCGGAUAGGACCACUUCUUGGAUGUUGUGGUGGAAAGUUUUGUCGGUGUGGGAUGAGCUCGCGGCCUAUCAGCUUGUUGGUGGGGUAAUGGCCUACCAAGGCGUUGACGGGUAGCCGGCCUGAGAGGGUGUACGGCCACAUUGGGACUGAGAGACGGCCCAGACUCCUACGGGAGGCAGCAGUGGGGAAGAUUGCACAAUGGGCGCAAGCCUGAUGCAGCGACGCCGCGUGGGGGAUGACGGCCUUCGGGUUGUAAACUCCUUUCGCUAGGGACGAAGCGUUUUGUGACGGUACCUGGAGAAGAAGCACCGGCUAACUACGUG
rnacentral:rRNA from 1 species